rnacentral:ncRNA from 15 species
CUAUCUUUGCCCCGUGAAGGUUCUUUGGCUCAGGUUUGAGGCCAAGGAUCAAAAGGGAAUCCGGUGUGAAUCCGGGACAGUACCCGCUGCUGUGAGUUCCUUAUAAAUAUGACGCGGCUUUCUUAUGCCACUGGCCGGACACUGAAUAUUCAGUUUUCCAUACCGCCGGGAAGGCGCCGCGUCAGGAGCGAGUCAGAAGACCUGCCUUCGCAAAACUUUACGGC